rnacentral:rRNA from 1 species
CCUACGGGUGGCAGCAGGGAGGAAUAUUGGACAAUGGACGGAAGUCGGAACCAGCCAGGCCGCGGGCAGGAUGACGGCGCGAGGAGGGGUAAACUGCUUGUGUACGAGAAGAAGAGUUCGUACGUGGAGGGAUUUGAAUGUAUCGUACGAAUAAGGAUCGGCUAACGCCGUGCCAGCAGCCGCGGUAAUACGGAGGAUUCGAGCGUUCUCCGGAUUUAUUUGGUUUAAAGGGUGCGUAGGCUGUCGGAUAAGUUAGAGGUCAAAUUUCGGGGCGUAACCCCGUGCCUGCCUCUGAUACUGGUCGACUAGCGCGCGGAUGCAGCAGGCGUACUGAGUAGUGUAGCGGUGACAUGCUUAUAUCUUACUC